AGUCCCGUGGCGCCCUAGCCCAGAGCGGCCCCCUGGGGGCGCGGUUCGGCCCGGGCGUCGGAGGGGCCGCAGACGGUGCUGGGGAGCCUGCGCGUCGGCGCCUUCAUUGGUUUCCCGGUUGGUUCUCGCGCUGGUUGCUGGCUUCUGGUGCCGGCGGGGAGGCGCGGCCUCUCGCCUGAAGGCGGGAAAGAGAACCUGAGCUGCGGCCCAGUCUCUGUGGAUGGAUGCGCUGCCAGCUUCUCGUCUGGGACUCUUGAGAACUUCUGCUGUGAAUAUCAGUGUACAGAUAUCCUUUCGGUAUCUGGGUUUGUCCUUUGGUAUAUGUUCCCAGAAGUGAAAUUGCUGGAUCUAUGGCAGCACUUCUAGAUGAGAGUCUGUGCAGAUCAGCUGCAGCAUGCUUUUUAUAUGCAGUGCAUGGGGUCAUGAAGAAGUAAAACAACUCUACAUCUGACGAAUGUCUACUGACGUCUAGACCAAGAUAAAUAAAGUCUACCUUUAUCUGACUGUCAUCACAGACUAAUAGAGUCAGUUCUACUCCACUCAGCGUGGACCUGCUGGAUAUCUAAUUUUCCAGAGUCCCAUUUGAGGAGGUCAAGGAGCAUAUUUGUUGAGUAGCUACCUUGGUGGAGCCACACACAUGACCCCUGUCAAUCUUAUAUCCACAUCACGUCAGUACCGUACACGUUCUUCAUCAGCAACUCGAAGGCAUCAAGAAUAACCAAACUUACACGAAAAGUCAGAGGUUUACAGUGCUACAGAGUGAGUCGAUUUCUUCACUGAUAGUGUGAUUGGUCACAUGGCUCCUUAAAAAAUGUACAAUGUGGAACAGAUCUCAUUUCUUAAGGACUUCUCAAAAUGGUCCAGCCUGGGGCCAGGACCCACUUUAGUAUGCUCUACAGUGGAAAAGCCUCACGUGGCAGCUGGUGUUUCUUCCCGUGUCACCACAUCUCCCUCAGCUGUCUUCAGCCGUCAUGGAGCCUGCUCUUCUUGUGUCUGGAGCUGAAUCUGCUCCGCUUCUCUACUGAGGACCCAUGGGAGGGAAUCUGGAGCCUAUGCAGACAACCCAGGAUAAGGUUUUCCCCUCAGACUCCUUCAUCUAAUCCCACCACUUGCCAUGGAAGGCAGUGCUCCCAGGUUCUGGUUCUGAAGAAGGGGACACAUUCCUUUGGCCACCAUUCAGCCCACUGGCAAUGACAGUGUGACAGCUAUAAUAAGGGACACUGAGCUGAUUCUUCAGGACAGUCAAGAAAGGGUUGGCAUAAAAAAAAUAACAACAAAACUGAAAAUAAGUGAGUCCUAACGCCCAUGAAAUUGACAGGGUAUCCCAGGUAUAGAAGGCUCCAUAACAAUCAAGAGAAUUCAGAACCUAUUCAGGGUGAGACCAAAUUCUAGAGUGUAAGACAUCUGAGAAAGAAUUUUGAUACAAAUGAUCCACAGAGAGCAGGUAAACAGAGAGUCUUAGAAAUAAUCACUUGUAUGUUUAUCUUAAUAUAUAUUAAGCUAUUUAAGAGAAUAGAAAAAAAUUUGCCCCAUAAUGUCAUGAUCAGAGGGUCUAAAGGAGAGUUCUCUGCCAGUUUCUACAAAGCUGAAAUGUGGCCGUCAAUUUGUCUACUAGUUAAACCAUGCAGAGGAUUAGUUUUUCUUUUAAACAUCAUAGCCAAAAUCCUCAUUAAGAUAUUAAGCAUAUGAAAUUCUUCAUAAUGCUAUCAAAGGUGGCAUUUAAUUUAAUAAUUAGGUAGACUGAAUAGAUUAUUUGCAAUGGUGAGAAUCUCGAAUAUUUCAGCCACUGUAGCUCCUAAUGCUAUAAUACAUAUAAAUAAGGGAAAAUUAUUUGAGCAUUGAGAAACAUGUGUUUGAAUUUUCAUUUGGUAUCAAUUCUAAAAGUAAAGGAAAAAUGCUUCUGCAAGCAUAAGAUUAAAUUUAGUUGAGUGUUUUGUAAGCAUUGUUUUCUUAAAUAAAAAAAGUAAAAUUAUGCCCAGA